UACGUAGGGUGCAAGCGUUGUCCGGAAUUAUUGGGCGUAAAGAGCUCGUAGGCGGUCUGUCGCGUCUGCUGUGAAAACUCAGGGCUUAACCCUGAGCUUGCAGUGGGUACGGGCAGACUAGAGUGCGGUAGGGGAGACUGGAAUUCCUGGUGUAGCGGUGAAAUGCGCAGAGUAUCAGGAGGAACACCGGUGGGCCGAAGG
rnacentral:rRNA from 1 species